rnacentral:lncRNA from 1 species
UAACGGUCGCUCGGCGACCGUUAGAGGUUCCCGGCCGUUGUCAGGCGAUGGCCGCUCCCUGCCUCGCAGAGCGGGCUCCAGCGAGCUUCGGGACACGGAGGAAAGCUGUCACAGACUAAGCAUAAGUGAGAGCAGAAUCUGGAAGCUUCAAGCUGUUCCUUACCAUCCUUGCUUAUUGACUGCAAUGGGCAUUAGUGCAGAAGAUGUAGGAGCUAUCAUCUUGCUAUCAGGAGAUGGAAUUGCUCAACUGAGGUACCUUUCCAGAAUCAGAUUUGACAAGGCUGCUCUUCCCAGCUUAAACCAAGAAGCAGGGCAUUCCUGUGGUACUGUGCAGCUCAUCACUGAUGGAAAUAAAUGAAGCAGUCUUAAAACUUGAAAGAAGAAAUUCAGAAGGACCAAGAGAACAUGCUCUAUGUGGAGUAUAGACGUGUAUGAUAGGGAAGCAUUACUGGAAGUUUAACAUUUUUAGUAGAAGCUAUAUGACAAAACUCUAUGCAAUUUCUUCAUAAUGCUUCAUACUUCUUGGUCUGUAUCACAAGUGGCACUCACUAGGUUUUGCAGUUUCCUUUUUCUAGACAUUUCCAAACAGCAUAGUUAUGUCCUAUAGUUCAUUGAUAGUUAAUAAUACAAAUUUUAUAUGUCAUCAAUCACUAUUCAACAAAUAAGUAAAAGUAGAUCAAAAGAAAGCAGAUGUAAGCGCAACAUGAAGUAAGAUAGUUGAAUUUUAUAAAGGUACCACUAAUAUGUGUUACAUGUAAUAGUAGCAACUUUCCAAGUAUCAACUUGCUCAAACUAUAAGAUAAAGUGAAAAUCUAUAAAAACCUCUGUAGAACUGCUCCAUUUUAAAAUGGUACUUUUCAAGGGGAUUCUCAUAAUGCUUCAAACUCUGUCAUGAUUUUCUUCACAGUCCUCAGCAAAUUAGUCAGUUCUUUUUAUAAGUAAACAAUGGUUCUUGUGUCAACUGUAUAAAGAGAAAAAAAAAUACUUUUAUUACUGGAAAGAUUUUUAACUUUUUUGGGGGCUGCUUUAAAAACUUGAGGAUUCCCUUUAGCUUAUGAAUUCAUAGCAUUCUCAUUCAUAAUAUCUUAUGCUAAAAUGUCUAGUAAAUUUUCAUUCAGUACUCUCUGGGCAUUUUAAUACGCUUUCAGUAGCACCUUUAUGGAUGUGUAAAAUUUUGAUUUCGCUAUUAUAAUGUGGAACUCAGUAAAUCAAUUCAUAUAGCUGUGUCAAAUGAAAUACCUUUAGUUGUACCAAACUAUGAGUUCUGAAUACCUGGAAUAUACAAGGAAUAUGCUGAAUAUCAAACAGAUGUUUCUGUGAAUGUUGAAUUUUUUCUGCUGUGGUACGUGUGAGUUAUUGGUAUUCUUCAAUGUAUUUUUAUUGACAAUUUCAGCAUGCAAUUGUAGAUGGGUUCUAAGAAUUGGAAUAGUGCAGGUGACAAAACAAAGGGUGGAAAUAAAGUAAAAAGUAAAAUGAAAUAGGCUGAAUUU